CAAACUAAAGAUGGCGACCGGCGCACGGGUGAGUAACACUAUCCAACCUGCCGAUAACUCGGGGAUAGCCUUUCGAAAGAAAGAUUAAUAUCCAUAGUAUAUUAAAACCGCAUGGUUUUACUAUUAAAGAAUUUCGGUUAUCGAUGGGGAUGCGUUCCAUUAGUUUGUUGGCGGGGUAACGGCCCACCAAGACUACGAUGGAUAGGGGUUCUGAGAGGAAGGUCCCCCACAUUGGAACUGAGACACGGUCCAA
rnacentral:rRNA from 1 species